GCCGACGCUGCCCGGAGCCUCUGCCAGACCCGAUUCCGCCUCCUGCUCCGCUCCCCUGCGCUCGCGAGUCGCUGUCCACUGCACCCAACGACCGCUCCUGUGACGCCGCGACCCACCUUGACCGCAACCUCCGGCCCACCGAAGCUCUGCCGAGACCGGACCCGAGCCAGAUCUGCCCAACGCCGCCCCUGCUCAGCCCGUGCUGACCCGCGAC
rnacentral:lncRNA from 1 species